CGCCGCGCUAACGGGGCUGCUAUGUGCGUCGGCUCGGGCUCGGCGCGCGCCGCAUGUUCGGGCGUCACGCGCGCCGCAU
rnacentral:tRNA from 1 species